rnacentral:rRNA from 1 species
AUUGAACGCUGGCGGCAGGCCUAACACAUGCAAGUCGAACGAGUGGCGGACGGGUGAGUAAUGUCUGGGAACCUGCCUGAUGGAGGGGGAUAACUACUGGAAACGGUAGCUAAUACCGCAUACCAUCGGAUGUGCCCAGAUGGGAUUAGGUUGUGGGUGGGGUAAAGGCUCACAAAGGCGACGAUCCCUAGCUGGUCUGAGAGGAUGACCAGCCAAACGGGGACUGAGAAAUGGUCCAGACUCCUACGGGAGGCAGCAGUGGGGAAUAUUGCACAAUGGGGGCAAGCCUGAGACAGCCAUGCCGCGUGUAUGAAGAAGGCCUUCGGGUUGUAAAGUACUUUCAGCGGGGAGGCGUUAACCGCAGAAGAAGCACCGGCUAACUCCGUGCCAGCAGCCGCGGUAAUUC